CUUUACACAUGCAAGUCGAACGGUAACAGGGUGCUUGCACCGCUGACGAGUGGCGAACGGGUGAGUAAUGCGUCGGAACGUGCCGAGUAGUGGGGGAUAACGCAGCGAAAGUUGUGCUAAUACCGCAUACGUACUGAGGUAGAAAGUGGGGGACCUUCGGGCCUCACGCUAUUCGAGCGGCCGACGUCUGAUUAGCUAGUAGGUGAGGUAAAGGCUCACCUAGGCGACGAUCAGUAGCGGGUCUGAGAGGAUGAUCCGCCACACUGGGACUGAGACACGGCCCAGACUCCUACGGGAGGCAGCAGUGGGGAAUUUUGGACAAUGGGCGAAAGCCUGAUCCAGCCAUGCCGCGUGUCUGAAGAAGGCCUUCGGGUUGUAAAGGACUUUUGUCAGGGAGGAAAUCCCUAGUGCUAAUAACACUGGGGGAUGACAGUACCUGAAGAAUAAGCACCGGCUAACUACGUGCCAGC
rnacentral:rRNA from 1 species